rnacentral:rRNA from 1 species
GACGAACGCUGGCGGCGUGCUUAACACAUGCAAGUCGAACGGAAAGGCCCUGCUAUUGUGGGGUGCUCGAGUGGCGAACGGGUGAGUAACACGUGAGUAACCUGCCCUUGACUUUGGGAUAACUUCAGGAAACUGGGGCUAAUACCGGAUAGGAGCUCCUGCUGCAUGGUGGGGGUUGGAACGUUUCGGCGGUUGGGGAUGGACGCGCGGCUGAUCAGCUUGUUGGUGGGGUAGUGGCUUACCAAGGCUUUGACGGGUAGCCGGCCUGAGAGGGUGACCGGCCACAUUGGGACUGAGAUACGGCCCAGACUCCUACGGGAGGCAGCAGUGGGGAAUAUUGCACAAUGGGCGGAAGCCUGAUGCAGCAACGCCGCGUGCGGGAUGACGGCCUUCGGGUUGUAAACCGCUUUCGCCUGUGACGAAGCGUGAGUGACGGUAAUGGGUAAAGAAGCACCGGCUAACUACGUG